CCUACGGGGGGCUGCAGUGGGGAAUAUUGGACAAUGGGGGGAACCCUGAUCCAGCCAUGCCGCGUGGGUGAAGAAGGCCCCCGGGUGGAAAAGCACUUUCAGGGAGGAAGAACGCCUGGUGGUUAAUACCCAUCAGGAAAGACAUCACUCACAGAAGAAGCACCGGCUAACUCCGUGCCAGCAGCCGCGGUAAUACGGAGGGUGCGAGCGUUAAUCGGAAUUACUGGGCGUAAAGCGCGCGUAGGUGGCUUGAUAAGCCGGUUGUGAAAGCCCCGGGCUCAACCUGGGAACGGCAUCCGGAACUGUCAAGCUAGAGUGCAGGAGAGGAAGGUAGAAUUCCCGGUGUAGCGGUGAAAUGCGUAGAGCUCGGGAGGAAUACCAGUGGCGAAGGCGGCCUUCUGGACUGACACUGACACUGAGGUGCGAAAGCGUGGGUAGCAAACAGGAUUAGAUACCCCAGUAGUC
rnacentral:rRNA from 1 species